rnacentral:rRNA from 1 species
UCGGGAAUUUUGGGCAAUGGGCGAAAGCCUGACCCAGCAACGCCGCGUGAAGGAUGAAGUAUUUCGGUAUGUAAACUUCGAAAGAAUAGGAAGAAUAAAUGACGGUACUAUUUAUAAGGUCCGGCUAACUACGUGCCAGCAGCCGCGGUAAUACGUAGGGACCAAGCGUUGUUCGGAUUUACUGGGCGUAAAGGGCGCGUAGGCGGCAUGACAAGUCACUUGUGAAAUCUCUGGGCUUAACCCAGGAACUGCGUCCGAUACUGGCUGGCUUGAAUCCGGGAGAGGGAUGCGGAAUUCCAGGUGUAGCGGUGAAAUGCGUAGAUAUCUGGAGGAACACCGAUGGCGAAGGCAGCCCCCUGGGCUAACACUGACGCUCAUGCACGAAAGCGUGGGGAGCAAACAGGAUUAGAUACCCUUGUAGUCCCUGAGCGGGCUGGCAAGGCGCAU